GUUUGCCUCGUCGUGGGAAAGUGUUGACCUGCAUUUUUCGUCUAAUUUCGUGAUACAAUUAAGCCAGAUGACGGCACGCUGUGAGAACGCUGAGAGAACAAUUUACAAAGAGUUCACCGGAGCUAAAGUGGCUACCCUGGGUGCCUCCAAAUGCUAUUUGACUUGGACCUUUAAGCCAGCCAUCCAUCCAUACAAACGGGUCAUAAAUCAACCAACAACUGUCAGUAGCGAGGCAUCUCCCAGCCAAUGUACAUAACCAUCUGUCUUGCUCUACGUACAACUGGAUAGAGAAUGGCACAUAUAGAAAAAAAUCCUACUUAGAUGGUUGUGCCGUAGUUGAAAAAGCUUGUCUCUGAAUAUAAUGGUUGUAUUCGAUUAGCGAUCUGGCGUCGGCCCCUUACGACCAGUCUGAGUGCUCCUUCGACAUUCAUGAUGAAAAAUGACGUUUACGCAGCAUCGCCUGAAGCGUUUUACUUCUACAGAACAAUGAAUGGUUUAAUUGGAACAACACCCACGUCAUCUCU